UACGAAGGGGGCUAGCGUUGUUCGGAAUUACUGGGCGUAAAGCGAACGUAGGCGGUGUUCCAUGUCAGAGGUGAAAGCCUGGGGCUCAACUCCAGAAUUGCCUUUGAAACGGGGACGCUUGAGUCCGAGAGAGGAUGGCGGAAUUCCUAGUGUAGAGGUGGAAUUCGUAGAUAUUAGGAAGAACACCAGUGGCGAAGGCGGCCAUCUGGCUCGGUACUGACGCUCAGGUUCGAAAGCGUGGGGAGCAAACAGG
rnacentral:rRNA from 1 species